GGACAUCCAAGAUUGGUGUGGCCUAGAGGCUUGGGCUCGCUGAGGCAGCAGGCCAGCUAUGAAACAGCUGGUGUCAAUGAUGCGGAUGGCUGAAGUUUCAUUUGGAGAACAGCAGUUGGUAUAAAAACUCUUCUGCUGCUUGCAUUUAAAAUACCCCAUACAGACACAUACCAUGGAGAGGAUGGCAAGGCUGAAAUUUUCCAACAUGGUACUUAAACCUAAGUUUAAGGACCAGAUGAGCUUGGAUUGCACCUGACCAUUUUUUUUCAAUUAAAUUUUUCUCUGUUACAUGUA